rfam:Schistosoma curassoni strain Dakar, Senegal genome assembly, scaffold: SCTD_scaffold0008560
AUCCAGAUAACGAGUUCCAAAUAAGAUGAAACGCAAGUCCUGGAU